UACACUCCUACGGGAGGCAGCAGUGGGGAAUAUUGGACAAUGGGCGCAAGCCUGAUCCAGCCAUGCCGCGUGAGUGAUGAAGGCCCUAGGGUUGUAAAGCUCUUUCACCGGUGAAGAUAAUGACGGUAACCGGAGAAGAAGCCCCGGCUAACUUCGUGCCAGCAGCCGCGGUAAUACGAAGGGGGCUAGCGUUGUUCGGAUUUACUGGGCGUAAAGCGCACGUAGGCGGACUAUUAAGUCAGGGGUGAAAUCCCGGGGCUCAACCCCGGAACUGCCUUUGAUACUGGUAGUCUUGAGUUCGAGAGAGGUGAGUGGAAUUCCGAGUGUAGAGGUGAAAUUCGUAGAUAUUCGGAGGAACACCAGUGGCGAAGGCGGCUCACUGGCUCGAUACUGACGCUGAGGUGCGAAAGCGUGGGGAGCAAACAGGAUUAGAUACCCGAGUAGUCCCAUG
rnacentral:rRNA from 1 species